rnacentral:rRNA from 1 species
CAGUACGUGGUGUUGGGGGCGGCGGAGGUGUUCACGUUCAUCGGGCAGAUGGAGUUCUUCUAUGACCAGGCGCCAGACGCCAUGCGCAGCGUCUGCUCAGGGCUCUGCACCGCGUUCGCGAUGGGCAACUACGCGAGCUCGGCGCUCAUCAGCGUGGUGGUGCGUGCCACCAUGAGGGGCGGACGGCCCGGGUGGAUUCCCGACGACAUCAACGAGGGCCACCUAGAAUACUUCUGCUGGCUGCUUGCCAUGCUCUGCAUCGGCAACUUCGGCGUGUACCUGCUGGUCGCACGAUGGUACAACUACAAGAAGACCGCUGACUGA